rnacentral:rRNA from 1 species
GAUGAACGCUGGCGGCGUGCCUAAUACAUGCAAGUCGAGCGAACAGACGAGGAGCUUGCUCCUCUGACGUUAGCGGCGGACGGGUGAGUAACACGUAGAUAACCUACCUAUAAGACUGGGAUAACUUCGGGAAACCGGAGCUAAUACCGGAUAAUAUAUUGAACCGCAUGGUUCAAUAGUGAAAGACGGUUUUGCUGUCACUUAUAGAUGGAUCCGCGCCGCAUUAGCUAGUUGGUAAGGUAACGGCUUACCAAGGCGACGAUGCGUAGCCGACCUGAGAGGGGGAGAGACAACACGGGAACGGAACAAGGGACAAAACCCCAGGGGAGGGCAGAGGAAGGAAAUCUCCCGAAAGGGGGAAAGGCCGGACGGAGAAACGCGGGUGGAUGAAGAAAGUUUUUGGUAUCAAAAACCUUUGUUAUAGGGGAAAAAAAAAUGUGAAAGUAACAAGGCAGGUCUGGACGGAACAUAACAAGAAAGCCACGGAAAACAACGUG